rnacentral:rRNA from 1 species
UACAGAGGUCUCAAGCGUUGUUCGGAUUCAUUGGGCGUAAAGGGUGCGUAGGUGGCGCCGUAAGUCGGGUGUGAAAUUUCGGAGCUUAACUCCGAAACUGCAUUCGAUACUGCGGGACUAGAGGACGGUAGAGGCGUGUGGAAUUCCGGGUGUAGUGGUGAAAUGCGUAGAGAUCCGGAGGAACACCGGUGGCGAAGGCGGAUCUCUGGGCCAUUACUGACGCUGAGGAGCGAAAGCGUGGGGAGCGAACAGG